GACGAACGCUGGCGGCAUGCCUAAUACAUGCAAGUCGAGCGAACAGAUGAAGUGCUUGCACUUCUGACGUUAGCGGCGAACGGGUGAGUAACACGUGAGGAAUCUACCUAUAAGCGGGGGAUAACAUUCGGAAACGGGUGCUAAUACCGCAUAAUAUCUUCUUCCGCAUGGAAGAAGAUUGAAAGACGGCUCUGCUGUCACUUAUAGAUGACCUUGCGGUGCAUUAGUUAGUUGGUGGGGUAACGGCCUACCAAGACGAUGAUGCAUAGCCGGCCUGAGGGGGUGGUCGGCCACAUUGGGACUGAGACGCGGCCCAAACUCCUACGGGAGGCAGCAGUAGGGAAUCUUCCGCAAUGGGCGAAAGCCUGACGGAGCAAUGCCGCGUGAGUGAAGAAGGCCUUCGGGUCGUAAAACUCUGUUAUAAGAGAAGAACAAAUUGUAGAGUAACUGCUACAGUCUUGACGGUAUCUUAUCAGAAAGCCACGGCUAACUACGUGCCAGCAGCCGCAGUAA
rnacentral:rRNA from 1 species